rnacentral:rRNA from 1 species
GAGCACGUAGGUGGGUUUGUCAGUCAGAUGUGAAAGCCUUCUGUUCAACGGAAGAAUUGCAUCUGAAACUACAAACCUUGAGUAUAGGAGGGGAGAGUGGAACUUCUGGUGGAGCGGUGAAAUGCGUAGAUAUCAGAAGGAACGCCGGCGGCGAAAGCGACUCUCUGGCCUAUUACUGACACUGAGUGUGCGAAAGCUAGGGGAGCAAACGGGAUUAGAUACCCCGGUAGUCCUAGCCGUAAACGAUGGGCACUAAGUAGAGGGGUUU